GACGAACGCUGGCGGCGUGCUUAACACAUGCAAGUCGAACGGAAAGGCCCUGCUUGCAGGGUACUCGAGUGGCGAACGGGUGAGUAACACGUGGGUGAUCUGCCCUGCACUUCGGGAUAAGCCUGGGAAACGGGGUCUAAUACCAGAUAGGAGCCAUUUUCAGUGUGAUGGUUGGAAAGUUUUUUCGGUGUAGGAUGAGCUCGCGGCCUAUCAGCUUGUUGGUGGGGUAAUGGCCUACCAAGGCGGCGACGGGUAGCCGGCCUGAGAGGGUGGACGGCCACAUUGGGACUGAGAUACGGCCCAGACUCCUACGGGAGGCAGCAGUGGGGAAUAUUGCACAAUGGGCGCCAGCCUGAUGCAGCGACGCCGCGUGGGGGAUGACGGCCUUCGGGUUGUAAACUCCUUUCGCUAGGGACGAAGCUUUUUGUGACGGUACCUAGAUAAGAAGCACCGGCUAACUACGUG
rnacentral:rRNA from 1 species